GAUGAACGCUGGCGGCGUGCCUAAUACAUGCAAGUCGAGCGAACAGACGAGGAGCUUGCUCCUCUGACGUUAGCGGCGGACGGGUGAGUAACACGUGGAUAACCUACCUAUAAGACUGGGAUAACUUCGGGAAACCGGAGCUAAUACCGGAUAAUAUAUUGAACCGCAUGGUUCAAUAGUGAAAGACGGUUUUGCUGUCACUUAUAGAUGGAUCCGCGCCGCAUUAGCUAGUUGGUAAGGUAACGGCUUACCAAGGCAACGAUGCGUAGCCGACCUGAGAGGGUGAUCGGCCACACUGGAACUGAGACACGGUCCAGACUCCUACGGGAGGCAGCAGUAGGGAAUCUUCCGCAAAGGACGAAAGCCUGACGGAGCAACGCCGCGUGAGUGAUGAAGGUCUUCGGAUCGUAAAACUCUGUUAUUAGGGAAGAACAAAUGUGUAAGUAACUAUGCACGUCUUGACGGUACCUAAUCAGAAAGCCACGGCUAACUACGUG
rnacentral:rRNA from 1 species